UACAGAGGGGGCAAGCGUUGUUCGGAAUUACUGGGCGUAAAGGGCGCGUAGGCGGCCUGCUAAGUCGAACGUGAAAUCCCUGGGCUCAACCCAGGAACUGCGUCCGAUACUGGUUGGCUUGAAUCCGGGAGAGGGAUGUGGAAUUCCAGGUGUAGCGGUGAAAUGCGUAGAUAUCUGGAGGAACACCGGUGGCGAAGGCGGGUCUCUGGGCCGAUAUUGACGCUGAGGAGCGAAAGCGUGGGGAGCAAACAGG
rnacentral:rRNA from 1 species